AUUCGCUGUGUGACUCAGGGCCUGUUCUGCCCCACACAGCAGAAAAUGCCCACGAUGCAAUACCAGAGUCUGCAUGGGACCAUUUCAACAACCCUUAGAAGCUGACUCAGCUGUCUCCUGGCCCUGACUUUUCUAAGAUGAGAGGAGCUGGUAGGAACAAUUUGGGAACCCUCAAAGGCUGAGAGUAUCCCACCCACUUCACAGAUGAAGCAAACUGAGGCCCAGAGAAGGGAAAUUACUUGCCCAAGAUCACCCAGCAAGUAAGAAACAGAGCUGGAGAUGAGCUCAGGCCAGCACGGAACCACGCAAACUCCUUCUGUAGGCUUUGUAAAGGAUUGAUGAGAAAAGCAGAUGGUUAAGAGCUCUACAACUUCUGUGAGGUAAAGAAUAUCUGCAGGGCUGGACGUGGCGGCUCUUGCCUGUAAUCUUAGCACUUUGGGAGGCCAAAGUGGGUGGAUUGCUUGAGUCUAUGAGUUCAAGACCAGCCUGGGCAACAUGGUAAAACUCUGUCUCUCUAAAAAAAAAAAAAAAAAAAAAUUAGCUGAGUGUGGUGUUGUGUGCUUGUAGUCCCAGCUACUUUGGAGGCUGAAGCGGAAGGAUCCCUUGGCCCAGGAGGCAGAGGUUGCAGUGAGCUGAGAUUGUGCCACUGCACUUCAGCUUGGGUGACAGAGCCAGACCUUAUUUAAAAAAAAAAAAAGGAUAUCUGUGAUUACAAGAUUACCAUGCAAUUUUGAAAGCCUGCUGUUGCCCAGCUGGACAGCUAGAGUUAUUCUCAGUGGUGGGAUGGCUGAACUGGGGGCCCACUGUGGAGAGCUGGUUUCCCACUGGAGUUCUCUGAAAAGGUGCCUGAUUUCACAGCUCUGAUUCUACAGAAGGAGGCCGGACCCUUCACGUAAUUGCUACCCUUUAUUUAUGGAGCUAUUCCUCUGUCGGGAUGCCCUUUAUAUGUGUACAGUCUGUGCUGCAGUCGAUUCUUAUAGUGAUUCUAUGCAGAAGUUACUUUAGAGGAGGCUGCUGGGGCGCAGGGUGGGUAGGUACCUUGUCAGCAUGGUGGGGCUGGGUCUCCAGCUGGUUGGGACCCCACCCUCCUAUCAUGGCCCAGGAGUGAGGCAUUCAGGGCUGGACCACCAGCAUUUGUGAAGCUUUUGCCCCAUUAUCCCAUCAGAACAUCUUCUUGGCCCUGGCAGGCAGCCAGGGCAGGGCCAUUCUCCACCUUACUGACAAAGAAGCCCAGGGAGGGGAAGAGGGUGCUCCCCCAACACCUCCAUUGCCUCUGCCUGCUUAGUCCAGAAUGCAGGAUAGAGAAAUAAUGGGAAAAGCUCCCAAGUGUUGCUGGAUCUCUGCCUGCCAGGGAAGCUGUGACCCCAGUAAGGGCAGGGUGUUCCUUCCAGGGAACUCGAGGUGGGGCAGGAUGGGUAGGGAGUGAGAUCAGAGGGAAGGCCAUGUUGGGAAGAUGGGAAGGCAAGUCUCUGGGGGUUUGUGGGAUAGAGGAAGGGAACAUCAUAGAACAGGCCAGGAAUAGGAGCUUGACCUGGAGAUUACUUUGCAGCAGGUUUAAACAGGGGCCAUGUGAGAGUGUGGAGCCCUGGGGUCAGAGGUUACUGGAUGCAAAUUAUGACUCUGCCACUUAUGGGAAUGGUGAGUUAGGACAAAUGAUUUCCCUGGGCCUCAGGGUCUUCAUGUAUAAAAGGGCUGAAGCUCAGUGGGUAACUGGAGCACUGCCUGGGUUAGAUCCUGGCUCCACCCCUUUCCAGUGUGACCUAGGGUGAAUGAGUUCACCUCUCUGGGCAUCAGUGUCCUUGUCUCUAAGAUGGACUUGAUAAUAAUGAAAGCUACCCCUCACAGGGCUGUGGUGAGGAUGAAGGGGUCUGGCAGCACAUGUAGAAUUCUUAGAGCAGGCUUUUUUCCUGCAGAGUCUUUGUUGCUAUCAUCAUCAUCAUCAUCAUCCUCAUCCUCAUCAUCAUCUACCUCCAGGGAUUCUUGGGGGGCUUAAACAAGGCAGGUUGUACAAAUUAUCUGGCACAGACGUCAUUAAAUAAUAACAGGGCAGAGUGACGGGUGCUGUGAUACAGGGAAGAGCUGGGAGAGACACAGGAAAGAGAAAAGACUUCUGUCUGGCUGGGUGGAAGAAGGGUGUGGAAGGUAUGGAAGCCAAGGGAAAACUUCCCCUUUGCCCUCUGAAGGUUCACUGAAAAGUCAACUGACAAAAGGCAGAUGAAUAGCAGAAAUGGCAUGCAAAUUUAUUAAUGCGCACACAGGGAGAACCACAGAGUGAUUGAUUACUCCCCACUCUGCAAUGGGGUGCAGAAGCUUAUAUGCCAUCUUGAGGUUACAGAAAGAAUGGGGGCUUGGGGCCUGAGCGCAGUGGCUCAUGCCUGUAUUCCCACCACUUUGGGAGGCCAAGGUGGGUGGAUCACCUGAGGUCAGGAGUUUGAGACCACCCUGACCAACAUGAAACCCCGUCUCUACUAAAAAUACAAAAAAUUAGCUGGGUGUUGUGGUGCGCACCUGUAAUUCCAGCUACUCGGGAGGCUGAGGCAGGAGAAUCACUUGAACCAGGGAUGCUGAGGUUGCACGAGCUGAGAUCGCACCGCUGCCCUCCAGCCUGGGCAACAAGAGCAAAAAAAAAAAAAAAAAAAAAAAAAAAGAAAGAAAGAAAUGAGGGAGGGAGGGAGGAAGGAAGGAAAGAAAGGGAGGCUUGGAUCCUGGCAAAACAGUUUAUGAGAUGGGGAGAAGAGGAGGCCUCCCUAGCAAAGGUGGUCUUGUUAUGUAGAUGAAAGCUCACAGAUAGCAGCUGUCAGAGAGAGUAGACCUUUGAAGGUACCAGACUCUCAUCAGUUAGUCUGUCCUAGAUCUGACAAGGGAAGGUCCGCAGAGGAAGCCUGCCUGCAUCAAUGCAGAUGUCCCUAUAGAUGCAGGUCUCCCCUACAAAAGACAGCUUUGCAGGCCUACUUCUGUUCCCAGGCUCUCUGAACAGCCAUCUCAAAAUAUGUCAAAGAAGUAUAUUUUGGGGUGAAAUAUUUUUAUUUGCUGCAAAGCCUCGCUCAAAGGACAUGUAGAAGUUCCCUGUGUAGAUGAGGGGAAGACAGAAAGAUGAACUUCUAUCAUCUUUGGUUGUGAGAGAGCAACCAAAGAUAAGGAACAUGGAGCAGUUUCAUGAGCUGCGUGCUUGGAGUGAAGGGCGUGAGGCUGCACGGGAGCACUGGGGCCAGAUUGCAGAGGGCUGGGAAUACCUUGCUGGAGGGUUUAAACUUGACCUGGUAGGUGAGGAGUUCUUUUAAUUUUUUUUUUUUUUUUGAGACAGAGUCUCGCUCUGUCACCCAGACUGGAGAACAAUGGCGCAAUCUCAGCUCACUGCAACCUCUGCCUCUCUGGUUCAACUGAUUCUCCUGCCUCAGCCUCCUCAGUAGCUGGGAUUACAGGCACACGCCACCACACCCGGCUAAUUUUUGUAUUUUUUACUAGAGACAGGGUUUCACCACGUUGGUCAGGCUGGUCUUGAUCUCCUGACCUCGUG
rnacentral:lncRNA from 1 species